UACGUAGGGUGCGAGCGUUGUCCGGAAUUAUUUGGGCGUAAAGAGCUUGUAGGCGGUUUGUCGCGUCUGCUGUGAAAAUCCGAGGCUCAACCUCGGACUUGCAGUGGGUACGGGCAGACUAGAGUGUGGUAGGGGGAGACUGGAAUUCCUGGUGUAGCGGUGGAAUGCGCAGAUAUCAGGAGGAACACCGAUGGCGAAGGCAGGUCUCUGGGCAUUAACUGACGCUGAGGAGCGAAAGCAUGGGGAGCGAACAGG
rnacentral:rRNA from 1 species